ACGAUGAAGCUUCUAGCUUGCUAGAAGUGGAUUAGUGGCGCACGGGUGAGUAAGGUAUAGUUAAUCUGCCCUACACAAGAGGACAACAGUUGGAAACGACUGCUAAUACUCUAUACUCCUGCUUAACACAAGUUGAGUAGGGAAAGUUUUUCGGUGUAGGAUGAGACUAUAUAGUAUCAGCUAGUUGGUAAGGUAAUGGCUUACCAAGGCUAUGACGCUUAACUGGUCUGAGAGGAUGAUCAGUCACACUGGAACUGAGACACGGUCCAGACUCCUACGGGAGGCAGCAGUAGGGAAUAUUGCGCAAUGGGGGAAACCCUGACGCAGCAACGCCGCGUGGAGGAUGACACUUUUCGGAGCGUAAACUCCUUUUCUUAGGGAAGAAUUCUGACGGUACCUAAGGAAUAAGCACCGGCUAACUCCGUGCCAGCAGCCGCGGUAAUACGGAGGGUGCAAGCGUUACUCGGAAUCACUGGGCGUAAAGGGCGCGUAGGCGGAUUAUCAAGUCUCUUGUGAAAUCUAAUGGCUUAACCAUUAAACUGCUUGGGAAACUGAUAGUCUAGAGUGAGGGAGAGGCAGAUGGAAUUGGUGGUGUAGGGGUAAAAUCCGUAGAUAUCACCAAGAAUACCCAUUGCGAAGGCGAUCUGCUGGAACUCAACUGACGCUAAGGCGCGAAAGCGUGGGGAGCAAACAGGAUUAGAUACCCUGGUAGUCCACGCCCUAAACGAUGUACACUAGUUGUUGGGGUGCUAGUCAUCUCAGUAAUGCAGCUAACGCAUUAAGUGUACCGCCUGGGGAGUACGGUCGCAAGAUUAAAACUCAAAGGAAUAGACGGGGACCCGCACAAGCGGUGGAGCAUGUGGUUUAAUUCGAAGAUACGCGAAGAACCUUACCUGGGCUUGAUAUCCUAAGAACCUUUUAGAGAUAAGAGGGUGCUAGCUUGCUAGAACUUAGAGACAGGUGCUGCACGGCUGUCGUCAGCUCGUGUCGUGAGAUGUUGGGUUAAGUCCCGCAACGAGCGCAACCCACGUAUUUAGUUGCUAACGGUUCGGCCGAGCACUCUAAAUAGACUGCCUUCGUAAGGAGGAGGAAGGUGUGGACGACGUCAAGUCAUCAUGGCCCUUAUGCCCAGGGCGACACACGUGCUACAAUGGCAUAUACAAUGAGACGCAAUACCGCGAGGUGGAGCAAAUCUAUAAAAUAUGUCCCAGUUCGGAUUGUUCUCUGCAACUCGAGAGCAUGAAGCCGGAAUCGCUAGUAAUCGUAGAUCAGCCAUGCUACGGUGAAUACGUUCCCGGGUCUUGUACUCACCGCCCGUCACACCAUGGGAGUUGAUUUCACUCGAAGCCGGAAU
rnacentral:rRNA from 1 species